rnacentral:rRNA from 1 species
UACGAAGGGGGCUAGCGUUGCUCGGAAUCACUGGGCGUAAAGCGCACGUAGGCGGCCUCUUAAGUCGGUGGUGAAAUCCUGGAGCUCAACUCCAGAACUGCCUUCGAUACUGGGAGUCUUGAGUCCGGGAGAGGUGAGUGGAACUGCGAGUGUAGAGGUGAAAUUCGUAGAUAUUCGCAAGAACACCAGUGGCGAAGGCGGCUCACUGGCUCGUAACUGACGCUCAUGCACGACAGCGUGGGGAGCAAACAGG